rnacentral:ncRNA from 1 species
CCCGCUGAAUUUAAGCAUAUAAGUAAGCGGAGGAAAAGAAACUAACUAGGAUUCCCUUAGUAAUGGCGAAUGAACAGGGA